rnacentral:tRNA from 1 species
GGGGAUGUGGCUCAAGCGGUAGAGCGCUCGCCUGGCAUGCGUGCGGCAUGCGUGCGGCCCGGGUUCAAUCCUCAGCACCACA